UCCCUGGUGGUCUAGUGGUUAGGAUUCAGCACUUUCACUGCCGUGGCCUGGGUUCAACCCCUGGUUGGGGAA
rnacentral:tRNA from 1 species